rnacentral:rRNA from 1 species
UAGGGAAGUCUUCCACAAUGGGCGAAAGCCUGAUGGAGCAACGCCGCGUGUGUGAUGAAGGGUUCCGGGCUCGUAAAACACUGUUGUAAGAGAAGAAUGACAUUGAGAGUAACUGUUCAAUGUGUGACGGUAUCUUACCAGAAAGGAACGGCUAAAUACGUGCCCG